UGACGUCAAGUCCUCAUGGCCUUUAUGACCAGGGCUACACACGUACUACAAUGGCCGGUACAAAGGGCAGCGACACAGCGAUGUGAAGCGAAAUCCCGAAAGCCGGUCUCAGUCCGGAUUGGAGUCUGCAACUCGACUCCAUGAAGUUGGAAUCGCUAGUAAUCGCGGAUCAGCACGCCGCGGUGAAUACGUUCCCGGGCCUU
rnacentral:rRNA from 1 species